rfam:Dipodomys ordii contig_14178, whole genome shotgun sequence.
GGAGGUGAGGGCGAUCUGGCUGCAACAUCUGUCACCCCAUUGAUCUCCAGGGUUGAUCUGGCUGGCUAGGCGGGUGUCCCCCCUCCCUCACCGCCCAUGUGCGUCCCUCCGAAAGCUGCGCGCUCCUUCGAAGAGAACGACCAUCCCCGACAGAGGCGGCCCGGCCUCGGUCAGGGUAUACGAGUAGCUGGAACCCAGCCUGCCCUCGCAUGGCGCCAGAGCUGGCGG